CUGCACUUUGGGAGGCUGAGGUGGGAGGAUCUCUUGAGCCCAGCAAAUUCAAGGCUGCAGUG
rnacentral:precursor_RNA from 1 species